GCACUGCUCCCGGCGAGGACAAUGCUCCUUCCGAACUUGACUCUAUCACAGUCUAUGGAAGGUGGAGGUGGUAAUUGCUUUCCAAGUGUUCGAGGAAUUGCGGAAAUGUGUCAGACCAAUGCUCCAGUGCUGAACAUUUAUCCCAAUAAGAAAGCAGUGGGCAUUCUCGAACUACUGGAGAUUUUAUGUUGUAUGUCACACCUUUCCUGACUGAUGUUACUCCUAUAAAAGAGACUGGUUUCAUUUUCUCUUAUGCACAUGCCACAUGAAUGGGCACAAGAUGGCACUAUUACAAAGUGAAGAAAUUACAAUGGAAUGACUUUGUCAGCUAUUUGAGAGCCCACAAAGAGUCAAUCACAUCAUUAAGAUUUAAACUAAUCAUGUUGGAUUCUCUUCCCUAAAUGACAUUAAUGUAUGAGCGGGUUUUAACAACAAUCCAGCUGUAAAUUCCUGAGUGGAAUACAGAAAUUUUAUGAUUUACUGAAUUAAAUUUCACAAUAAUUCAUGA